rnacentral:tRNA from 1 species
GCCUCGUUAGCGCAGUAGGCAGCGCGUCCGUCUCAUAAUCUGAAGGUCGUGAGUUUGAUCCUCACACGAGGUA